rnacentral:rRNA from 1 species
UACGUAGAGGGCUAGCGUUGUCCGGAAUCAUUGGGCGUAAAGCGCGUGUAGGCGGCUCGAUAAGUCUGUUGUGAAAGCCCAGGGCUCAACCCUGGAAUGCCGAUGGAUACUGUCGAGCUAGAGUCCGGAAGAGGCGAGUGGAAUUCCUGGUGUAGCGGUGAAAUGCGCAGAUAUCAGGAGGAACACCAAUGGCGAAGGCAGCUCGCUGGGACGGUACUGACGCUGAGACGCGAAAGCAUGGGGAGCAAACAGG